GAGCUGCAAGACAGAAUGCAGGGUCCAGUGUGUGAGGAGGAGUUUGAAGCACUUGACAUUGACCUACCCCUGAGGACCAUGGAGCAGCUGGAUGAAACAGAGAGACAUUUGGAGGAUGCUGGAGCACAGAAGAAGAUGGUGUCACAUUUAUCACGCAUGGGAGGCGCCACGGUGGACGAUGCUGUGCGUCGGCUGAUGCAGGCCGUGCUGUCCUUCGGAGUCGGUUCCAAACUGAACUGGGUCGGGCGAGGCCAGAAAAGGGGUUUUCGUAACACCAGGCUCCAGGGAGUCCUUUUCCGUGCCCUAAAGAGAACUCCAGUCGGAAAGGAGGCGACACACCACCAGUUUGCAGACGUAGUUAAAAAAUGGCUGCGAUUUGCCCCGUUCAGGCAAGGGGGGAGUGGUCGACGGCAACAUUACAAACCUUCGGUUGAAUUCAUGUGCCCUCAGUGAACCACAUGACACUGUUGCCAGGUUGAGACCACAACAAUUUAGAUUGUAACUGUUUUCAUCCUUGUUUGUUUAACCAUCAUGUGUGAACUAAUGCAUUUAUCAACGUAAGUAUAUAACCAAAAAACAAGGAAUCACGUUGCGUGUUAUAUUUCAUCACUUUUACAAAAAUGUAUUAAAAUGUAUUAAAAUGUGAAAGACUGCUUUCUAAACACAUAUUUCAUCUUUGCUCUCACAAUGUAACCCAGUGCUGUUACUCAUUAAACUUUUCCCCCUCCAAACUCAAAUUGUAUUGUGACCAAACAAGCAGUUGUUUUUCUUAAGUCCUUUUUAUUUGGAAAAUAUUCAAGAUUAUUUGUGCUGUGACAGUGUCCCGUAUAUUCAUUUAAAAUAAAUAUCAGACUAUUGUUGUAAAGAAUGUGUUUAUGAAACAUGGUUUGGAUUGGUUAGUUUUGCUAACUUUUUUUGAACAAAUGGUAUUGUAUCUCUUCAGCACUGUCAAACAUUUGACAUGAAAGAAAUAAAUAGGUGAUAAUCACUAGACAGACCAAUGUAGGUUCAAAUUACACAUAACAGUUUUUGGGAUGGAAUGCAUAAACUUUUCUUCUGAUUGUGUUGCAGUUUGGGUCCACUGCCACUGGCAUUGUUUGCUGCUGGAGGAAUAAAAUGAGCGACUGUGUUCCCCUCUUAUAAACAGGGUGUUGACAGGAGUGAAUUCGGCCUCUGCUGAGCUGUCCAAUUUUGCUUUUUGUUCAUGUGUGAGUUGCUUAUUUGGCCAAAGGCUUCAAUGAAUGGUCCUUUUUGUAAGUUCAUGGAAGACAGAGUUUACAUUUUUUCAGUGGCUUAGAACUCUGGUCUGUUAGAAAGUGCAUUUCAAAGCAGGACCCAAAAAAACCUUUAGGAUUCAAAGAUGUUAAAUCAUAUCAGCUUGAUAACAGCAAGUAAGAAAACACAGAUUGCAGCCUUUCAUUUUAUUUCACCUAAAAAAUUUGAAAUGUUAUGUCGGUCUUUAAGAUAAAAAGUUUGUCACAAAGCUGGUACGCAUUUCUUCUAAAACUAUUAUGAGUAACCUAAAUAUGAUAUGAGUUAUAUAAGAUAUUAAAACAGAAUUAGAUAUUUAAAGUUUAAAUUAGGGCUACAAUGUUUACCGAUUUCAUGAAACGGCGGGUAUUGGAAACAUAUUAUACGUCUGAUUUGUAUUGGAAUUUGUCAGCUUCAUUUCUCAGAAAAGACACUGCAUAAUGCAUAAAUCAUUCUAGAAUUUUGACAUAGAUGCUAAACUGAAUCGGCCAGUCUCUAUACUGGAAUAACACAUGUAUUAUACAUCUGAGAAUUAAAUUUUUAACAACAUAAA